GAGGGUAUAGCUUAAGUGGCAGAGCACAUGCCUAGCAUGCCUGAGGUCCUGGUUUCAUUCCCCAGUACCUCCA
rnacentral:tRNA from 1 species